AAACAGUAUGGCACUCUAUGGUAAAUCUGCAUGGAGUAGACCAUUCUCAAAAACUGAGUGACUGUGCAAGAAGGAGAAGAGUGAGGAAAGCCAAUAAGACACCCUGACAAUACAGAAGACGUUAUAGGCUAAUGUGGCUGUGAUUGGAGAAAUUGUGCACCC